rnacentral:rRNA from 1 species
GCUUGUCUCAAAGAUUAAGCCAUGCAUGUCUAAGUAUAAGCCCUUGUACGGCGAAACUGCGAAUGGCUCAUUAAAACAGUUAUCGUUUCUUUGAUAAUCACUUACUAUAUGGAUAACUGUAGUAAUUCUAGAGCUAAUACAUGCGAGAAUGCCUAACUUUAUUAAUCAGAAGGGCUGCGUUUAUUAGAUACAAAUCCAACCCGGGGUUAGCCCCGGACCACGUUGGUGAUUCAUAAUAACCAAGCGAAUCGCAUAGGCUUGCCUGGCGAUAGAUCUUUCAAGUUUCUGACCUAUCAGCUAUUGACGGUAGGGUAUUGGCCUACCGUGGCUAUGACGGGUAACGGAGAAUUAGGGUUCGGUUCCGGAGAGGGAGCCUGAGAAACGGCUACCACAUCUAAGGAAGGCAGCAGG